AUGCUGUGGAAUCUGCUGGCUCUUCAUCAGAUUGGGCAGAGGACCAUAAGCACUGCUUCCCACAGGCAUUUUAAAAAUAAAGUUCCAGAGAAACAAAAACUGUUCCAGGAGGAUGAUGGAAUUCCACUGUAUCUAAAGGGUGGGAUAGCUGAUGCCCUCCUUCAUAGAGCCACCAUGAUUCUUACAGUUGGUGGAACAGCAUAUGCCAUAUAUCAGCUGGCUGUGGCUUCAUUUCCCAAUAAAGGAGUGA
rnacentral:lncRNA from 1 species